rnacentral:rRNA from 1 species
UGAGGAAUAUUGGUCAAUGGAUGGAAAUCUGAACCAGCCAAGUAGCGUGCAGGAUGACGGCCCUAUGGGUUGUAAACUGCUUUUAUGUGAGAAUAAAGUUAGGUAUGUAUACUUAUUUGCAUGUAUCACAUGAAUAAGGACCGGCUAAUUCCGUGCCAGCAGCCGCGGUAAUACGGAAGGUCCAGGCGUUAUCCGGAUUUAUUGGGUUUAAAGGGUGCGUAGGCCGUUUGAUAAGCGUGCUGUGAAAUAUAGUGGCUCAACCUCUAUCGUGCAGCGCGAACUGUUGAACUUGAGUGCGUAGUAGGUAGGCGGAAUUCGUGGUGUAGCGGUGAAAUGCUUAGAUAUCACGAAGAACUCCGAUUGCGAAGGCAGCUUACCGUAACGUUACUGACGCUUAAGCACGAAGGUGCGGGUAUCGAACAGGAUUAGAUACCCUGGUAGUCCGCACAGUAAACGAUGGAUGCUCGCUGUUGGCCUUUAUGGUCAGUGGCUUAGCGAAAGCGUUAAGCAUCCCACCUGGGGAGUACGCCGGCAACGGUG